UGGAAGAGGACCUCAGAGGGGUGAGAGGGCUCGGUUGGAUCAGGGUGAAGUAGUGAGGAGAGGACAAUUCCAGAAAGAAGGAGCAAAGGCACCUGCCAGGAGGAAGCCUAGGAUUCGAUGGGAAGUGGGGAUUUCUGGCCAGGUGGGCAGAGCCAGGACAUGGGGCAUUCUGAUCCCUGGUUGAGGAGUUGUGCUUUGAUGCCACACAGAAGGGGUGUCAUCAUGACAAUAGAGGAACAGUGGGGAAGGGCCUGGGUGCAGCAGGGCGUUCUGAGGGCCCUAGAGCUUGGCUGGAGGUGUCCAGGCAGGAAGCACUGAGGCUGGGUCACAGACAAGGCAGGAUGGAGCCUGGAGCUGGAGACUUCUCAGAGGCUGAGCCCAGCGUCUGGGAACCAGUGGGACUCAGGGGCCACUGCAGAAUGGCCUCUGCAGUGGCCACCCUGCAGAGCAGAAUGGCUCACCCUGGGUGAGCUGCAGGGCGUGCACCCGGGCUGCUCCCAGGCUCGUCCACGCUCUGCCCAAAUGACCAAGUCCACUUCUCCGGGUGGGAGACGUGUGGGGUUCUCUGGCUCUCCACCAUGGUCCUGUGGUGACUGAGCCGCCGGCUCUCCUGCAGCAGGAGGUCUGCGCAGGCCAGUAUGGGCCGGGCAUGGCGGAGCUGGAGGAACAGAUCGCGGAGCUCAACAUCCUGCAGAACGAGAUCAACGACCAAGGAGAGCAGCUGCGGAGCCUGGUGGGGCCCGCCCCGUGGGCAGGAUGCCGCCACCAUCCGGAGCCAAUACCGAGACCUACUGAGGGCGGCGUCGUGGCGCGGGCAGAGCCUGGGCAGCCUGUACACGCACUGCAGGGCUGCACGUGGCAGCUGAGCGCCCUGGCGGAGCAGCAGUGCCGCAUCCUGCAGCAGGACUGGAGCGACCUCAUGGCCGACCUGCGGGCGUGCGGCGGGAAUACGAGGUCGGCUGGCAGAGGUUGGGGCCAGGCGGGGGCGGCCAGGGCCAUUCUGGUCCUCACCCGCCGCUCCCCACCCGACUCGCCCCCAGCACUCAAGCAGCACGAGCUGCUGAGCCAGGAGCAGAGCGUAAACCAGCUGGAGGACGACGGCAAGCGCAUGGUGGAGCUGCGGCACCCCGCGGUGGGGCCCAUCCAGGCCCACCAGGAGGCCCUGAAGAUGGAGUGGCAGAACUUCCUGAACCUGUGCAUCUGCCAGGAGACCCAGCUGCAGCACGUGGAGGACUACAGCCGGUGAGCCCUCGGGCAGGCGGCAGGGGCGGCAGGGGCGGGAGGUCCCACAGCACUCCUGCCCACAGGAGAGGCACUGCACCUCUCAACUAGACAGAGCUGGCAGGGCGCAGUGGCUCACACCUGUAAUCCCAGCACUUUGGGAGGCCGAGGCUGGCGGAUCACUUGAGGUCAGGAGUUCGAGAUCAGCCUGGCCAACAUGGUGAAACCCUGUCUCUACUAAAAAUACCAAAAUUAGCCAGACGUGGUGGCGCACGCCUGUAAUCCCAGCUGCUCAGGAGGCUGAGGCAGGAGAAUCGCUUGAACCCAGGAUGUGGAGGUUGCAGUGGGCCGAGAUUGGUCCACUGCAUUCUAGCCUGGGUGACAAAGAGAGACUCUACCUCAAAAAUAAAAUAAAAUAGAGCUGUGUGGUUGCCACUCGGUCCCAGAGGGAAGGAAAGGCAUGGGCACAUUCUCAACAGGGUGAAGCGGUUCCCAGGGGGGUGAAAAUUGGUUCUUAAUGGCAGAAAAAUAACUCUUCUUAUGCAUGAAGUACAGAUCCACAUACAGCACCUAAGCUGUAUACAGCAUAUCUGUGGUAUAAAACUUUCGUGGGGGCCAGGUGUGGUGGCUCACACCUGUCAUUCCAGCACUUUGGGAGGCUGAGCCAGGAGAAUUGCUUGACCCCAGUAGUUCCAGACCAGCCUGGGCAACAUAGUGAGACCCUGUCUCUAUACAAACAGAUAAAUCUCUAUCAAAAUAAAUAAGUAAAUAAAAUUUUAUGGGGAUGAGGUGGGGGAAAAUAAAGAAAAGAUUUCUUAAAAGGCUCUUUAGGAGAAUAAUAAUGAAAAAAAACGGUUGAGAAACCCUGAUAUAAUAUACAACUGGGAUUUGGGGGCAGAUAAUGUUUCAUACAUUUUCCUAUAGAACCACAAACUAUGAUCACACACUGACAAAAAUUCCGUAAAAACACUUGGAAUGCUUCUUUAAAGCAUAGCUUCU
ensembl:lincRNA